GAAUCCGAAAGAGGGGUGCUGUGCUCAUGGAAGCAGGCUGAGAUUAGACCCGUAUGACCUGAUGCAGGUAAUGCUGCCGUAGGAAUUGCGAAACUUCGCGUU
rnacentral:ncRNA from 1 species